UAAGUGGUGGAAAUUAAACCAAAUGGGAUAUCUUUAGUAAUUGCGAAUGAACAAGGAUAUGCUUAGCUUGACAAAUGGAGCUAUUGGCUUUGAAUUGUAUUGUGGAAAUGUAUUACCAACAGAGGUGCAGGUGCCAGCCUAUUGAAAUAAAGCGUCAAUGAGGGUGAGAAUCCUGUUUGUCAUGUGCAGCCCUUUGUGCACGGUGUAUAUUUGCUGAGUCACACUCCUUGGCAUUGGAAUGCAAAGUGGGUGGUAAGUUUCAUGUAAAGGUAAACAUGCAAUUGAGACUGAUAGCACACAAGUACCAUGAGGGAAAUAUGAAAAGGACUUUGAAAAGAGAAUUAAAUGAGUUUGUAUUUGCUGAACACAAAGUAAACAGACUUGAUUUGCUUGGUGGGAGUGUUGCACUUGCUUGACAAGAGCUUUGGGCUGUGGGUGUAAUGAUUCUUUCUUUGCAUGCCAGUUUCUAUUUGUACAUCUGAUUACCUUUGCACAUGAAUGAUAAGUCUCCUGUGGGGGGUGGAUUGCAUGUGCAUGUAAUGAUUUGUGUUUUGAUAAAUGUGUCUGGUGUAUGUGUGUGUUCCUGUGCUUGGGGAUGCUUCCUUCCUUGGACUUACAAGCCCUGACACACACAUGCUGGCAAAAUGCUUCUGCUUGACCCG
rnacentral:rRNA from 1 species